GCUGAGGUCAGGGCCCACUCCAGGCACCAUCCCAGCAAGCAGUUGCUUGGGGAGGCCAACGGUGACGGGCGGCAUGUCCAGGUCUUUGGCAGUGAUUCGGCGGUGGGUCCC